rnacentral:lncRNA from 1 species
UAACCUUACCCCAUCUAACUUGGAUUUUGGAUCGCUGUCAAUCAAGAAGCUACCUAGGCGUCCUUGCAGCAGAUGCUGCUGCAGCUGCCUCAUUAUGUAAGGGGCUUUUUAGUUUAUAAUUAUUUGGGUCUCCAAAUCAUAUUUUUCAAAAACGAUGUUACCGACUGAAAUCUCUUUAUGCCUUUUGAAUAGCUCUCAUAAUAUUCUUUAUUUAGUUUCAAAUAGCUGGAUUCUCUAAAUCAAGUAUGUAUCUAGAAGAUUCUGCCACUGAGCUUUUAUGGAUUUUGUUCUACAUCAUUGUGGAGUUUUGUAUUAGAAAUCCAAACGAACUAAAAGAUUCCGUAAUUUUGCCAGCCUUGCUACAGCAAACUAGCAAUCUAAGUUAGAUCCCUUGUAUUUGGUGCUGGAAAGUCUGAAGCAUUUCUGCAUGCUGUUAAAUGAGCACCAAACUCAGGUGCUCAAACUAUUUCUUGCCUGUGUGCUUUUUUCCUUUGAUAAGGGAUUUCUUGCUUGUAUUCUCAAGUAUUUACCUAGUGAUAAAUGUCAGUUUAAUAACUUCAGCUGGUGUAAUUGGGUUGAUUUUGGCAAAUUCAGUAAGUAUCCUCAUGACAUCUUUGAAGUGUUAGGAUUUGUUUAUUGCCUGAGUUUUGAUGUACCUUCCUUUCUUUUUAACAAAAAAUAAAAAGAAAAUCUUGAUCCUUCUUAGUGCUUCAGUUCUUGGUCAGAAUUAAGGUCACCUCCUCUAAUGUGCGAAAAAAUAAAUUUGGUCUUAUUACUCUAUGGAGUUAUUUUCUGGAAGAUUCCGUAAAUCAUAUGUAGGUCAUUGGUUCUCAUAUUUCAUCUAUUAGCAGUAUUUCACUAGUACAAGCUUUCAUUUUAAAGAACUAUUGUCAAAAGUACUGCCUGUAUGCUGAGGAAGUAGCUACAUGGAGCAUGGUUUUCACCUAAGUUGCAUGGACUCUUCACUUUAGAUGCUGCACCCAUUUAUCAGAUUCUCAUUUGUAUUUUUGGAGAACACGACAAGCAUCUGUUGACUUUUUUGAAGAGUUCGAGCAGCAUAGUUUUCACAAGUAGGGGAACAUGUGAGUGGUGAAACAGACUCUAAUUGAUUCUCCAGACCUAGUUUCAUACUUCAUAAUGCAUUGCAUUUGAGAAUCUAGCUUACCAGUGUAGUUAAUACAUUGGUAUAACUUCUUGAGAACUUUUUGCAUUCACUUCUCCGUGGGAAUAACCUGCUUCACUGUAGCAGCCUUUAUCAUGUAAGUAGUGGCUUUAAAACUCUAUAUGCAGGUGACUGUUGAACUGGAUCGAUGCUAUAUGCAUAGCAGUCUUGCUUUGCAAAAUGGAUUUCCUCUUGUUCUUCUCCUUAUAUGAGUUCUUGGAGUCUCCGUUGAUGUUAUCUUUUUGAUCUUCAGCUAUAGUCGUGAGACAAUCUUUAUUAACGAAAUUACACAUUUCAGGGAUCAUACUGACUGAAGAAUUAAGUCAGUCUAGCGAGAUCAAUCUACCCCCCACGAUCAGUGCUCAGACUUAUGGAUACUCUUUCUUGAGGUUCGCUUUGACAUGGUGCCUCUGUGUCCUGGUAAAAGCGUAAAUUUAGCCAAAACACGAUUAGCAUUUGUCAACAGUGAGAUGGCAUUCAACUUGUUAAUGCAUAUCAUACAUUGUUUUUAACAUUUUUAUUUUACCAAAAUUUAGUUUUAAUUUUUGUGCAGGUAUAAGUAUCUUAUGCAAUCUACUCUUCAUUUCCCCUUGCUCUUGCACGUGAAACGUAGAAACAUUUGUUCAGUUGGAAAACUAACAAAGUGGUAGUAAGAAUGCUGCAUUGCUACCUGAUGGUUUCGUUGCAUUACGUUAUAAACUUU